UCUUCUAGCUUGCUAGAAGUGGAUUAGUGGCGCACGGGUGAGUAAUGCAUAGGUUAUGUGCCCUUUAGUCUGGGAUAGCCACUGGAAACGGUGAUUAAUACUGGAUACUCCCUACGGGGGAAAGUUUUUCGCUAAAGGAUCAGCCUAUGUCCUAUCAGCUUGUUGGUGAGGUAAUGGCUCACCAAGGCUAUGACGGGUAUCCGGCCUGAGAGGGUGAUCGGACACACUGGAACUGAGACACGGUCCAGACUCCUACGGGAGGCAGCAGUAGGGAAUAUUGCUCACUGGGGGAAACCCUGAAGCAGCAACGCCGCGUGGAGGAUGAAGGUUUUAGGAUUGUAAACUCCAUUUGUUAGAGAAGAUUAUGACGGUAUCUAACGAAUAAGCACCGGCUAACUCCGUGCCAGCAGCCGCGGUAAUACGGAGGGUGCAAGCGUUACUCGGAAUCACUGGGCGUAAAGAGUGCGUAGGCGGGGUAAUAAGUCAGAUGUGAAAUCCUGUAGCUUAACUACAGAACUGCAUUUGAAACUGUUACUCUGGAGUGUGGGAGAGGUAGGUGGAAUUCUUGGUGUAGGGGUAAAAUCCGUAGAGAUCAAGAGGAAUACUCAUUGCGAAGGCGACCUGCUGGAACAUUACUGACGCUGAUGCACGAAAGCGUGGGGAGCAAACAGGAUUAGAUACCCUGGUAGUCCACGCCCUAAACGAUGGAUGCUAGUUGUUGCCUUGCUUGUCAGGGCAGUAAUGCAGCUAACGCAUUAAGCAUCCCGCCUGGGGAGUACGGUCGCAAGAUUAAAACUCAAAGGAAUAGACGGGGACCCGCACAAGCGGUGGAGCAUGUGGUUUAAUU
rnacentral:rRNA from 1 species